rnacentral:tRNA from 1 species
GGCCCGUUGGUCAAGCGGUUAAGACACGGCCCUUUCACGGCUGUAACAGGGGUUCAAUUCCCCUACGGGUCA